AGGCUGCCGCCUUCGCCACUGAUGUUCCUUCUAAUAUCUACGCAUUUCACCGCUACACUAGAAAUUCCACAGCCCUCUCCCAUACUCUAGCUUGCCAGUAUCGUAUGCAGUUCCCGGGUUGAGCCCAGGGCUUUCACAUCCGACUUAACAAGCCGCCUACGCGCGCUUUACGCCCAGUAAUUCCGAUUAACGCUUGCACCUUCAGUAUUACCGCGGCUGCUGGCACUGAAUUAGCCGGUGCUUCUUCUGCGGGUAACGUCACGGCUGGCCGCUAUUAACGACCAACUUUUCCUCCCCGCUGAAAGUGCUUUACAACCCUAAGGCCUUCUUCACACACGCGGCAUGGCUGCGUCAGGGUUUCCCCCAUUGCGCAAUAUUCCCCACUGCUGCCUCCCGUAGGAGUCUGGACCGUGUCUCAGUUCCAGUGUGUCUGGUCGUCCUCUCAAACCAGAUACUGAUCGUCGCCUUGGUAAGCUCUUACCUUACCAACAAGCUAAUCAGCCGCGAGCUUCUCUCUAGGCGGAUAAAUAUAAAUCCAUUUCACUCGAAAGCAUAUGGGGUAUUAGCAUUCGUUUCCAAUUGUUGUCCCCCUCCUAAAGGCAAAUUCUCACGUGUUACUCACCCGUCCGCCACUAAAGUUAAAAACUUUCGUACGACUUGCAUGUGUUAGGCAUACAGCCAGCGUUCAUCCUGAGCCAGGAUCAAACUAAU
rnacentral:rRNA from 1 species